rnacentral:rRNA from 1 species
UACGAAGGGGGCUAGCGUUGCUCGGAAUCACUGGGCGUAAAGCGCACGUAGGCGGAUUGCUAAGUCAGGGGUGAAAUCCUGGAGCUCAACUCCAGAACUGCCUUUGAUACUGGUGAUCUUGAGUCCGGGAGAGGUGAGUGGAACUGCGAGUGUAGCGGUGGAAUGCGCAGAUAUCAGGAGGAACACCGAUGGCGAAGGCAGCUCGCUGGGACGGUACUGACGCUGAGGCGCGAAAGCGUGGGGAGCGAACAGG